AAGAGAACAAUUUUUACCAAACCCUAGAAUUCUAUCUAAACCUUCGCUAGAAGGUCUUAACGAAGAACCCCAGAACGAGCGGACUGCUAAUCCCGUCCUCUCCCUUCUCUUUCGCACCGUCGCCCUCUCGUCUUCUUCUUCCUCGCCUUCUCCUUCCUCGUCGCACCUUUGCCCUCUCGAUCGUCUUCAGCUCCCUUGUCGGUUUCCAGCCACGUAAUCUAUGUUUGUUACCAAAGGCCUCCUCAAGUGGGCGGUCAUCUGUUUGGUUGCUCAGGGCCUCACCGUUAGCGGCUACAACUACACCUCCAGGCACCGGUCAAAUUCGAACUCCCACCAUCUCAGUUACACUUCCCUUCCUAUCUCUCUCUCCCAUCUCUUUCUCUCUCUACUCUCUAAACUCUUUUUAUCUAUCAAAUUCUCAAAAUUCAACCUGCCUGAUAAAUUGAUUGAUGGUAAUUUUGAUUCAAUUUCAAACUUGUGAAGUUGCAGCUCCAAAAAGGGCAGCAACGCCUUGCCCUGCAGCUCCAGCUCCAUCACCGACCACCUUCUUCAGCCCCCCACCAACUUGUUAAUCAGAACUCGCCGUGUGACCCAUGCUUGACAUACAGCUGCUUGCACUGGUGCCCCUUGUGCCAUGAGGACAGGGAGAUGAAGGGAUAACCCCAAAGAUGUUGCGUUUAGUCACACUACAGUAUAACACUGGUCAAUUGAAGCUGCUGCUCCACUGUUAUUAACAGCCGUUAGCGGCGAUUGUUGGUCAUUGGGAGAAGUUGAAAUGUAUUGCUGAGCUACCUCAACUAUCUUCAUAACACAAGGCAGCCAGCAACCACUGAAAGCCAAUUGCCGUGUACACUCAAAAUGUUGCAGAGUGCAGGAAGUUAUGGAUUUUCUGAGUUCUGAAAGCGAAUUGAGAGUGCUGCAAAUCGGAAACGAUGUUACACGAGGUGUCUUCGAGGCUAAGGAAGUGAAGGACGACACAUUUUGUUGUAUAGUUCCUAAGUAGUAAUUAUGUAAAGGCUGGUAGUAUUGCAUUCGUUUAUUAUUUUUGCUCAUUAUUGAAAUAAGAAGCCCAAGCUGAAGAGAAAUAACAAGUUGGGUGAUAUGAAUUAGGAUUUUUUGUUGUAGGUUUCUUCUUGGUUGUCUCCUUUUUUGUCAUCCAUUUCAAUUGAGCCCAAAAGGAAAGGACAAGACAUGGGAGUGUAAAGGAAAACUAGAACAAGAAAGAACAGGUACUAGUUUGGUUUUGUUGUUUCUUUGUUUUAGUUUGUAGUUAGAAGUUGAAAUCUGAUUAUAAGAAUUGUGAGUGUAAAGAAUAAGUGACUCAAAUUCACCUAUAAUAUUUUUUUGGAAUUGUUUGUA